rnacentral:misc_RNA from 1 species
GUGAAUCAUCGAAUUUUUGAACGCAAAUUGCACUCUCCUCGGAGAGUAUGCCUGUUUGAGGGUCAGCCUAUAAAAAAUCGACAUCGUUGCUGUUUCGCGGUGGCGUUCGUCGGAAAUUGGGUUAUCUUAAAUCCUUUUGGGUUUUAAGCGACUUAAAAUUUUCUUUUUGGUUCCAUGGACGUUUCUUAGAUUUAUUUCUUUACACGUUUAAGGUAUCGAUUUUUAUUAGACGUGACCAUCAUAUCGGAUCGCGUCAAUAAACUUACAUUAAAU